AGAAGACAUACAGAUGUAGGAGUGUGCAAAAGGGUAGGCUACUGUGAGCUGCAUAGCUGAAACCUACCACUUGCAUCUGCCAUGCAUAGAAAAAAUGUUUUUGAUGCCAAAUUGGUUACCAUGAACAUAUUUGAUGGGAAUUGCAUAACAAUUACAGCUUUCAGCAGCAUGACAGACAAUAUUCUCCAAUUAAAGUUGUUAUACAAAGAUUUCAUAAAAUAAUGCAAGCAAUCUGGUACUCCUAAACAAUUUAGUUAUCCUCAAAGAUGCUAUGCAUCAGGAUGCACUUUUUCCAUGCUGAUGCACUCCAAGAUACCUUAUCAGAGCCUAUUUAAAAAGAAGCAUAAUUGUCAUGCCUCAGGACAAAAAUAUAUGUCAGUCAUUUUUUGCUCGAAUUGAAAUGAAAAAAAUAUUGCAUAAAUCAGCCAUUCUAGGCCAUCAGAAUAUACUUUACGUAUAAAAUUUCUGGCACUAAAAAUUGCAUAUUUGGAAUCACUGACAUAAGAUUUUCCAAUUACAUAAGUGAAUACAUUGUUAAGACUAAAAAAACUCCAUGGAUCACUUACCCAGCUGUUUUCGGUUAGAAAUUUUGGAUUUUUUAUAGAUUGACAUUUUUCAGCUAUUUUCGUAAUUGGAUGUUAGACAGACAUCACCAUAUGCAGAGAGUUCUAGAAGAUCCAUGUCUCAUCCUGAUGUUGUUGGAACUCCAUUAUUAGCAAUCAAGUUAGCAAUGCAUGCCAUAUUCUAUUAGGUAGCAAUCCUGUGUAUAAAUCUGAUAAACAACAUUUUGAUAAAACUUUCAAGUCCCCUGAAACUCUAUAAUAUGCAUUCUUCCGUAUGAGGACAGGUUUGGAUAUUUCAGUCUUAUUUCCCUUAGAACAAUUAACAGUUGCCUGCAAAAUGAGAUUAUUUGUCAAAUAAAUUUAAGUGAGAAGCAAUAGGUGCAGACACUGGAUAUAAUUUAUAAUGUAGACAACAUUAUCAAGUAUGGAAGAAACAACUGUGUAUGUAUUAUAUGGAUUACACCAUAAUUAAAUGGCCCAGCUUUUCUAGUUGCCACACUGCGUGCAAUGGAUGUUGGAAAAUAAUGAUAAACUUCACAACAUCAACACAGUCAAGCAUCAGCAUCAAAGCACAAAAAUAGACAUAAUCAGAUUAAACCAAAUGCUGUUAUGCUUAACCACUAGAACACACCCUCUAAGCAGUUGAGUUUUUACAAGAUGCACAACUUGACACCAGAUUGCCUACAGAAUCACUACAAUGUAUAAUUCAAACACAACUUUUAUGCUACCACUGAAUAUCUGGCUCUAAUUCUAUAGAAAUUCUAAAGUUUUGUUUCUCGCUUCUUCCUUAUUCUAUCUGAUCUGCCUAAAGACACAGGCAAAGGAGAGGCGCAAGAACAAAAUCUUUAAAAAAAAAGAAAAAGAAAGAUGAAAAUCUAAAAACUAAGUUGAAUCCUCCUGAACCAACUCCCACAACUUAAUUGUGGUUGCUGUUACAUUGAAUAGUAGAAGCAGGGAACCAAAUCUCAUCAAAGAAAAACCAGCAUGUCUCACUACCACUACAGGUUCUGAGGCCCAGCAUAUACCAAAAUGAGCACGGGCUUUUUCUAUUUUGUUUUAUUUUUUAUUUUGUAUCAUAUUUUAUUUUACUUUGGAAAGAAGCAAGCUACACCACCUAGAUGACUAGAAUAUAUGUCCCCAAAUAUCAGCUUUGGAAGACUGCAAGAAGCUCAAGUAAUUUUCAUCAUUAAAUCAGGACCCCUCGUAAGUGGAUUUUUUAAUCAUGACUUGUUUGAUGAGAGGAAAUAAAACUAAAGAGUCUGGCCAUGGAAUCACAGUUCCAUCACAAUUUUUUUAUGCAUUAGUCGCUUAAUAAAGCUAACUCAAGCUAAUUUUCUUUUCCUUGGUUAAAUGUUCAACAUCUCUGAUACAUUGAGAUUUUAGAGGAAAGAGAAAGGCUAUAUGUGAGGCCACCCCUUUAGCUUAGACUUUAAAUCAAUAUAUACCCAUAAAAGAGUAAUUUCAGUCUAAUGGAUUAUGCCUCCAGAUCAUGAAAUAUAACAUUUCACUAAAAACAUCAUAAAAGACAAGCAAGAAUGUGGAAUUGCAUGGAUUCAGUCAUUCCAACUAUAUAAAAUGAAACUUAAGCUAAACAGGUCAUCAUAACACUGAUAUGAUAAUUAUUCAGUUGUAAAAGUUCCCAAUACCAAGCAUAUAGGAAGAGAUAGAAAUAGUCAACACACUGAGAAAAACAAGAAAUAGCACACUCACCUGUAAAACUUGGCAAUUUUACAAGGUGCUCUUCCCACCCUGCAUUUUGCAAAUAUUAGAGAGACAAAAGUCAAGCUACCCAUACACCAAAAGGAAAAACAGAGAGAGAGAGAAAGAGAGGAAUUCCAACACCUUAUCAUCAAGAAGCUUACCUACUAUUCUUGCAUUUAUGAUUGCUAUGGUCAAUUAUAUGGAAAUUGAGAAAUCUAGGUUACUGCUUAAUUAUUUAAUAUAUCGGGUUAAGAGAAGCUAAGAAUGCAAAUGAGUGGGCAAAAGAGUAGCUCUUCUGAAGGCAGAACAUAUAAGUUCACAUAAAAAACAAAUAAAGUAACUGCUGGUAUCAUAUGCAGACAGACACAUUUUAGCCAUGAAAAAAAGGAUACUUCCCUAAGAUAUGCAGAGUUUCUGCUCCAUUUGUGAACAACACGCCAUUGUUUUCCUUUCAAUCAUUCUUUUAUCUCUAUAUUCAUACAUAACCAAAGAUGGCAUGAAAACCCUUUUUCUCUUUCUGUUUUUGAUUAACAAGACAUUUCCUUGGCCUAAGAAAACUACCAUUCACCAAUCACUCAAAAUAUCUUCCACACUGAAUGAUAUGAAUGCACCACCAAAUGAUACCGGAAAAUUUUCAAAAUGUCCUUCCACAGUUUAGCAACAAUCCAUGUAUUUUCUACCAAAAUAUCAAAAUUAUAGUUGGCCCAUAAGAAAGAUUUAUUUCUUCGAUUGGGUUUUUAUUAAAUGCCAAAUCAUCACUUCUCUGUUUUCAAACUUGCUAUUAGAUUCAUGUGAAUGACUAUAAUACUUGUGAGUACAUCUUCUAACUUUCAUGAACCAUCUCCAUUUUCCACCCUCUUGUUUUCAAUUUAUGCAAAUAAAUUAUUUCUAAUUAUAAUCAAUCGAAAACUUUGAGUUCCAAUUUCAAUAGAGAAGAAUUGCUAAAUUUCUUCCCUUCGAACAACAAUGCAUUCCAAUGAUUUUGCAUUUCAGCCCUAUUCUUUUCAUCAAAAAAAACAAAAAACAAAACAAAAGCAUUCCAAUGACUAUGAAAAAUGAUGCAGAUGUCUCCCAGCAUAUCGUAUAAACUCGAAAAAAGGGGGUUUCAAAGAAACAUCUCACUGCAUAAAUUUCAAGAGAAUAACAUUGUCCUCCACCAUCGAACUUCAUGCUUUACCAUCCCAUGGUUUUCAGGUAUUUAGACUGCUAUCCUCAGCUAUAAUCCCUACUUAGUUGUCGUCUAUCUGAAAGAACAAGGAACCAUCCUCGAAUAUACAAAUCAUCAUUAGCUCCGACUUUCCAAAAUCUACAAUUCACUGUCAGGAGUUUUAGAAAACAAUUUUUUACUGCUCACUCACGAAAAAUUAGUUUAUAAAAGUAGAAAAAGGUUUUCUGACCUUGUAUAUGUGGACAGCUCUGAAUUUUCAUCCUUUCAGCAUGCACUAGACAUUUCCUGCUCUUCUACAUUUUAUGAUGAAGAUACCAUUUCAGUUUACUGUUAUAACAGUCAUCCAUUUUUGUUUCUUUUUGGGAAAGCCAACAUCUCAUUAGAUCUCAUGACAGGAUUAUCCAUCUCCACCAAGUUAUAGUUUGAAAAACUUCACAUCCUGAUUAUUUUUCACAUUCUGCAUAUUCCAACCACAAGAUUUGAAAGCUCAUUUUGAUAGCCCAAUUGUUCUAAAUCUCCAGUGACCUAUAUCAAUCCACUUUCUUGCACCCAUGCCUCCUUUUAGCAUUCAACACAAGAUCUUCACCACGUCUCAUCCGCAAGUCAAAAUCAUGCAAGACACAUUGAGCACAUAUCCAAACUAUACUUGCUUAUGUCAGAGAUGGACUUCAAAUCUCUCUCCUUAUUCCAAGAUAUAUGCAAAAAAAACAAAAGAAAAUACAAGAAAAAAGAAGACGAAGAGGAAGAUGUUUAGAUCUCAAUACUUUCAAGGAUCGAACCUUUCAAUAGACAAAAAUCGAGCCUGACUUUACCAAUUCAAAUACAAGUUCAGAAUCUCAACAUUUAUUUGUGUUGCAUGCCCUUUAUCUAAUGUUAACAACCAUAUCCAAAUCUGCUAUCAGCAAUCCUAUCUCAACUAUCUAAACUAAGCUUCAUGAUCCCCUUUAACCAUUCUUCCCCAGGAUGUCAAAGCCUGGACUAGAAUACUCGGAAUUCUUACCUCUCGUGUAACCCUCAUACAUAUGCCUCAGCCCCCUCUCUAAUGGUGUCUUUAAUUUUUCAUCGCAUGGUAUCUUGUCAUCUCAUCAGUUAUCAUCAUUUUAGUCCCCUCUCUAAUUUUUCCUCCUGUUGAGGCUUUCCUCUUUAUUUGAGUGGGACCCCAUCAAAGGACAAAAAAAAUCAUAAAUAGAUCAUAAUGUAAGAAUGGUCACCCUACUGAAUUUCCUCCAUGCUGCAUUUCUUAGUCCCUUUCAUUUCUUUAUACUUGUAACGUUUAUUUUCACAAGAAGUUUGAAUCUUCAUGGAUUGUUCUGGAAACUAGGGAAAGUCAGAGCUGAUCUUUUGUGAGUCUCUAUUUCUCCUUUGUGAAGCUUCAAGAGAAAGGACAAGAUGAACGUGUAGAAGUUCUGACAGUUCAAUUUGCAGAGCUUAAGAAAGAACAAAGAAACAAGUAGUUCUUAUCAGCUUUAUGAAGCCUAAUAUCAUGUUUAAGCUUGAUCAAAUGAGUUAUUUCUACUGUUGCAUGUUGAAUCCACUUUCUUACAUGAUUUUUUUUUUUUUUUUUGACAAUUAAGGUGCGUUCCCUUGAAGUUGCCAUCCUCUUGCUUGGCCCAGAGAAGAAGAAAUGUUGUAAUACCAACAAGCCAUUAUUGUAGACAGUGAAUGGUUGAUCUACAGUAGGCCUUGCCAGAUUUUUUUUCCUUUGGGAUGGUGGGUCUGCAUUCUUGGCUUUCUAUUCUUUCUAUACAGCAGGAAUGAGACUAAAUUGCACCCAGGUGUGAAUUUAACAGUAUCACUGUAUUCAGGGCUGAGGUGCAUAGGUUUGUCCUCUGUAUGCAGAGGUUCACAGUUAAUGUGCACAGAUUUGCCAUCAUGUGCAAUGACUACCUACUUGAAGCCCCGAAGUUCACAGAUUACACUCUGGUUAUAAUUUUUUUUUUUUGCCGGAGUCCAUUUUUUUCCUUUUUCUUUUGGGAGAAAAACCUCCUUCAAAUGCAACUAUUUCCAAUUUUUUCCUCUCAAAUUUGCCAUACAUAAACAUAAACUAUAAUGUGUAUCUCAAUUAUCAUCUUUUUAAAAGCUUGACAAGUUGAAACCUACAAAUUCCUGAACCCAUAGCAUACCAAACGAAUUCCCACUUGCUGCAAGAUGCAACAAUCAAAGCAGAAAAAAAUUAAUACAGCAAAUUUGGGACCAUAAAAUUAUAAUCAUCCUUCGAAAUGAACCCAAAAAUAGCCGCCAUAAACUAAGAAAAACAUUGUUCCUCUCUGGUUCUAAACUCUCCAUAAAUCCAAGAUUAGCACUCCAAACAUCAACCUUAAUGGAAAAAUCACAGGAACAACGACAUUUUCUUUUGGUUCAAAGAGAACCUACAUCACAAACCCUCCCAAAAAAAGGAAAAAAAAACCCAAAAAAUCCAAUUUUUCCCCAUGCUAAAGAAGAGAUCGAUAAAGAAACAGCACCAGAUCGAUACCGUGGAAUAGAGGUGACGCAGCGGAGGAAGCGGACGUGUUGUGGAGGGAGUCGCGACCCUUCACCUUCUCUGCCUUUUCCCAGCACUACGGCUUCACGCCUUGGGAAAAGCUCCUGGGCUCCACCGGUGUCGACCACCCGCCGCCGCCGCAUUCGCCGCCGUAGAUCUUCAGCGAGAAGCCUGAC
rnacentral:lncRNA from 1 species